CGUAAACAGAGGGAAGCGAGAUCGAGAGAUGGGGCAAAUCCCAAAAAUAAACGUCCCAGUUCGGACUGUAGUCUGCAACCCGACUACACGAAGCUGGAAUCGCUAGUAAUCGCGGAUCAGAAUGCCGCGGUGAAUACGUUCCCGGGUCUUGUACACACCGCCCGUCACACCAUGGGAGUCAGUAACGCCCGAAGUCAGUGACCUAACCGAAAGGGAGGAGCUGCCGAAGGCGGGACGGAUGACUGGGGUGAAGUCGUAACAAGGUAGC
rnacentral:rRNA from 1 species